UACGUAGGGUCCGAGCGUUGUCCGGAAUUAUUGGGCGUAAAGAGCUCGUAGGCGGUCUGUUGCGUCGGCUGUGAAAACCCGGGGCUCAACUCCGGGCCUGCAGCCGAUACGGGCAGACUAGAGUUCGGCAGGGGAGACUGGAAUUCCUGGUGUAGCGGUGAAAUGCGCAGAUAUCAGGAGGAACACCGGUGGCGAAGGCGGGUCUCUGGGCCGAUACUGACGCUGAGGAGCGAAAGCGUGGGGAGCGAACAGG
rnacentral:rRNA from 1 species